GCAUCAUCUUAUGAUCAUUAUUGUUGUCUUGCUUCUCGUGUUUUGCAAACGCAGUGCCGUAACUCCCGGUUUGUUUCCUUACAUGCGAAGGGUCAACUUGGUAGAAAACAGGAAUAACAACUUGUCCAUCUUUGUGACACUCCAUUAUUUCAACGAUUUCGUUCAAACACCAUGUUGAAUUCGCAUAGUUCUCCGAGAACACAACAAGAAACAGAGUGGAAUCUUUGAUUGCUUUCUCAAGUUCUGCCCAAACUUGGUCUCCUUUUUCAAUUCUGUAGUCUAUGUAUGUCUCAAAAUAGCUUCGCUUCAACGCAGCGUCAAGAUGGCUUGUGAAACCGGCGCGAGUGUCAUCACCUCUAAAGCUAAUGAAAACAUCAUAUUUUUUUAGAUCUACUGUACUCACAGCUUCAGAGGAUGAAGAAGCCAUGGAAUGAUACAGUGAUUGAAGCUCUAAAAUAUGCUGUCAAAUGACAGUCAGGUUUGAUACAGAAAACAGAAUUCAAAAGAUGAAUGAGAAGAAAAGAACACGUGGAUUAUUGAGCUUCGGAUCAAUUGAUCUUCAACGUCCUCAUUGAUGUAGCUUUCUAUCCAAUGGAUUACAGAGAUACAACAUGAGUGGAGGCUCUAAAACAGAACACUCAAAUGAUGUAAUCACCAAUUGUAGAAUGUUAUGGUUGAUUGCAAUUUUGAAUAAGACCAAUGACAGUGAGGUUUCAUACAGAAAACUGAAUUCUAAAGCUGAAUGAGAAGAGAAGAUGAACACAGGGAUUUUUGAGCUUCGGAGCAAUUGAUUUUCAACGUCCUCACUGAUGUAGCUUUCUAUCCAAUGAUCAAAGAAUUACAGAGAUCCAAUUGAUUGCAGUUAAGGAGCAUAGUAAAACCAGGAUUUGUUUUUUCAUGUGGUUCACCCAUUGAACUCGACAGUUUCUCAAGAGAUUCACAAUUCCAGACAACUAAAGAUUUAAUGAAAUGUGAAAAUGCCGGAAUAGAUUGAAGCAGUUUACAAUCGUAAACACCAAACUCAGCGAGUCGAGGAAGAUACUUGAUGGUUUCAGGCAAGCUUCUAAUGGCCAGACCAAUUAGUGUUAAAGUCUCUAAUGAUGAUAGUAAGAAGAUAUUGUCUGGGAUUUCAAACAAGAGAGAAAUAUUGGUCAAGUUUAAGUGUGUUACAGUCAUGAAGGAAGGACUAGAAAGUAAUUUAUGUAAGAUGAUGGAAGGGUCGACAUUGUCACGAUUCACUGAACUCAUGAGGAAAAUAUUUUUAGCAAAGUUUUCAGGAAGAUUCACAAGAUAUCCAAUCAUGGGAAAGAUAAACAAAUUAAGAUUUUUUGUUUGCAAUAUUGAUGAUGGAAGUUCAUUCCCACCAAACUUUGAUAAAGCCAGAAACAAAUUAUCAACGGAAGAAAAUGUGACAGAGAACUCUUGGAGAUUGAUGCAACCCACAGCAUUUAAUUCAGUGAGGGCUGGUGAACAAGUGGUACUCGAAAGGCUCUUUAGUGACGUACAUCCAGCCAUGAAUAUUCUUGUAAGCUUUUGGAGAAGGAAAAUUGAUGAAUCAACUUCAUGCAAGCUAUCACAAUCACCAAGUAUUACUUCUUUUAGAUUCGGGAAACCAGACACAUUUGGACAUUCUAUCAGCUUUUUGGAGCGACUAAGGUCAAGUAUCUCUAAAUUUGGCAAAUU